GAUAAAAUGGCUGACUUAGGCGAUAAAUUGUAAAUUUAUUAAUGAAAUUAAAAAUUUCUUUUAUUA
rnacentral:tRNA from 1 species